CAAAAUUGGUUUACACCAAACAUUGUGUGCACUAUAUCUGUCUCUGGUGGUUCUCGUGCUUGCUUGCAAGCCUGCCUUUGGGCUGGAUCACCAAACAUGAGCAUUUGGAGCGUUUCGACGUUUCAUUUGUUUAUGAAAAACUUUGUACUAAUUUUGUGUCUGAAUCAUUCACCAAGUGAAUUGAAAAA
rnacentral:misc_RNA from 1 species